AUUGAACGCUGGCGGCAUGCCUUACACAUGCAAGUCGAACGCGAAAGGGGGCAACCCCGAGUAGAGUGGCGAACGGGUGAGCAAUACAUCGGAACACGUCCUGUAGCGGGGGACAACCUCGAGAAAUCGAGGCUAAUACCGCAUACGGUCUACGGAUGAAAGUGGGGGACCGCAAGGCCCCACACUAUAGGAGUGGCCGAGGCCGGCAUAGGUAGUUGGCGGGGUAAUAGCCCACCAAGGCUACGAUCCGUAGCUGGUUUGAGAGAACGACCAGCCACACUGGGACUGAGACACGGCCCAGACUCCUACGGGAGGCAGCAGUGGGGAAUUUUGGACAAUGGGCGAAAGCCUGAUGCAGCAACGCCGCGUGAGUGAUGAAGGCUUUCGGGUCGUAAAGCUCUGUCGAGGGGAAAGAAGUGUAUUGUGGCUAAUAUCCGCGAUACUUGACGGUACCCCUAAAGGAAGCACCGGCUAACUCCGUGCCAGCAGCCGCCGUAAAAC
rnacentral:rRNA from 1 species